rnacentral:tRNA from 3 species
GACCCCUUCGUCUAGAGGUUAGGACACAACCCUUUCACGGUUGAGACAGGGGUUCGAUUCCCCUAGGGGUCACCA